ACCAAGACUACGGAAUUAACGCACCCAUGGCCGCACGCGCGAGAGCUUUUCGAAGUCGACGACCGUCAUCGUUUCGUGUCUGAUUACCUUCCUAAGACUGCUGAGAUACCUACAUUCAAAGAAGUCUGACUCUAAUUUCAAUAAACUUAUAAUGGAGCAGUGAGUGCAUGGUUUUGCUUUUACAGCUUUCCUGGCCUCCAGGGUGUGGUGUGAGGAAUCCCCUCAGGGGCCAAAGCAGUCUGACUCAUGAAGGUGCGGAGAGAGCAGGCAAAGGAACUGCUGAAGGCAUGCUUUAUGCAGUGACAUGUAUAGCGCCAAAUUUAAUAAAUAUGUAUUAAUUGAAAAACAAUAAUUCAGUCAUACAACAAUAGUUCAUUUUCUGGGAUUCUUUCCACAGGCUAGUCCCAGAGUUGUAAAAAUGUUAAAAUAUACUUUUCCCAUGUGAAUCUUUUGCUUCUAAAAAUCGACUGUCUCAUGGCAUGGAUCUGUGCUCCUUGGGCUUGGUAGCAGAUGGUUAAUGUGCCCUUUUGUGAAAGCAAGUCUGACAGACAUCGCCACCUUGCCCUACCAACGAGACUUUGGUGUGGAUGAUGGGCAGGAGUAACAAGGGUGCCUGACGGAGGAGAUGGCUGACCGUAACUUACAGAACAUGAGCUCAGCAGCUGGUGUAAGGGCUCCUGAUUGAAGUGACAAGAUGUAAGCAUAAUCGGUCUGUAGCUGGAUGGUUAAGAUGACACACGGGCAAAUUUUAUAUAAUUCGACAGCAGCAACUGUGUCAUAAAGAAAGAUGGCAUGUCCCUGUGUGGGUGAGAGAAUGUGUUAGGAACUGGAUUUGAGCUUUGAGUUUGUGGAUUUCUGCCUGACUGUUACUGAAAAGUUUCACUGUUUGUUUUUUUUUUUUUUUGGAGCUGUUUGUAUUUUUACCUUACUUACUAUCUGCUCCAUUUUGAGUGAAAUGGUAAUUCACCUCAGAGAAUUCUGCAACCUCUGAGCAAGGGCUUAUCAGCCAGUAGUCAUCUGUUUACAUUUACUUUAUGUUCUCCAAAGCAUGGUCAGUCAGUUUGGAACAGUUAGGAUAAAAGGCUUUGUCUAAGGGCCCAAUAAUGUAAUCCCUUUGUCCACUGUGAGAUUUGAACCAUCUUGUCCACACACAAGCAGCCAAUUAGAAAUUUUUUAUGGUAUUUUCCAAUGCAAAUACUUUUCUGCAUUGUUUGAUUUAUGGAUUGUUUAACGAUGCUUCACACCUGGUAAAUAAACAGGAGAUACACUUGACCUUUAGGAAAA